rnacentral:rRNA from 1 species
UACAGAGGGUGCAAGCGUUGCUCGGAAUUAUUGGGCGUAAAGAGGAAGUAGGCGGUCUUGUAUGUCAGAGGUGAAAUCCCUGGGCUUAACCUAGGAAUUGCCUUUGAAACUGCAAGACUAGAGUUCUGGAGAGGAUCGUGGAAUUCCCGGUGUAGCGGUGAAAUGCGUAGAUAUCGGGAGGAACAUCAGAGGCGAAGGCGGCGAUCUGGACAGGUACUGACGCUCAACUCCGAAAGCAUGGGUAGCAAACAGG